UGCCAGCCGCCGCGGUAAGACGGAGGGUGCUAGCGUUAUUCGGAAUGACUGGGCGUAAAGGGCGUGUAGGCGGUUAUAUAAGUUAGACGUGAAAGCCCCGGGCUUAACCUGGGAACAGCGUUUAAUACUGUAUGACUAGAGACCGAGAGAGGAAAGCGGAAUUCCUAGUGUAGAGGUGAAAUUCGUAGAUAUUAGGAGGAACACCAGAGGCGAAGGCGGCUUUCUGGCUUGGAUCUGACGCUGAGGCGCGAAAGCGUGGGUAGCGAACGGGAUUAGAUA
rnacentral:rRNA from 1 species